rnacentral:rRNA from 1 species
GAUGAACGCUGACAGAAUGCUUAACACAUGCAGGUCGAUGGGGAAGUGGUGCUUUCACCAUGGCAACCAUGGCGGACGGGUGAGUAACGCGUAAGGGACUUACCUGCAGGACUGGGAUAACAGGGGGAAACUCCUGACAAGACCGGAUAAUGUCAUGGAGCUGCAUGGCUUUAUGAUGAAAGGAGACGCCUGCGGAGAGCCUUGCGUCCUAUUAGCUAGUUGGUGAGGUAAUGGCUCACCAAGGCGAAGAUAGGUAGCCGGCCUGAGAGGGUGGACGGCCACAAGGGGACUGAGAUACGGCACUUACUCCUAAGGGAGGCAGCAGUGGGGAAUAUUGGACAAUGGGGGCAACCCUGAUCCAGCAAUUCUGUGUGCACGAAGAAGGUUUUCGGAUUGUAAAGUGCUUUCAGCAGGGAAGAAGUAAGUGACGGUACCUGCAGAAGAAGCGACGGCUAAAUACGUG